rnacentral:rRNA from 1 species
GACAGAGGGUGCAAACGUUGUUCGGAAUUACUGGGCGUAAAGCGCACGUAGGCGGAUCGAUCAGUCAGGGGUGAAAUCCCAGAGCUCAACUCUGGAACUGCCUUUGAUACUGUCGAUCUGGAGUAUGGAAGAGGUGAGUGGAAUUCCGAGUGUAGAGGUGAAAUUCGUAGAUAUUCGGAGGAACACCAGUGGCGAAGGCGGCUCACUGGUCCAUUACUGACGCUGAGGUGCGAAAGCGUGGGGAGCAAACAGG